GGCCUUGUAGCUCAGACGGUAGAGCAUCGUCCCAGAAAUGCGAAGGUCGUGGGUUCGAUUCCCACCGUGGUCA
rnacentral:tRNA from 1 species